GUUAUUAUUUAGCAGGAGUGUAAUGAAGACUUGCAUUUUUGUUUUGCAUCAAACUGAAAGAAACAAGUUUAUUGAAAGUGCACUAUUUCAAAUCUAUUUUUAACACAACUUAUAUUCGUAUCUAGUAAAGGCACUAUCAUAUUGGAAAAUAAAGUUUCUUGUCUAAUUAGUUAAUUCUAGUCACCAAGUAAGCAAAAUAAAGUUUUAAGCUUUUUUUUUUUUUUUGCUACAUUCUUUAUUUUGUGAUACUUUUAUAAUUGUUUUCUUUUGUCUUUUAUACAAUCAAAUGAUGAAAAUUAUUCUUAUCGUUUCUUUUUUUUCUUUCAUAUUUUGCCAUAAAUCUUUCUUCCUGUUCUAAGAAAUGAAACUGUGAAAAGAAAAACUUCAGUAUACUAUCACAUUUUAUUUAUCAUUAUUUACAGUCAUUCUUGAGUAGCUAGAAGUAAGCCAUUAGGAUUUUGAGGCAUAGAAUAUUUUGUAUGUUACCUUAAAUCUUAUUUAUUCUAGUUCUCAUGGUUAAUCAUUUCUCUGCUGCUGUUUGCUUUACAAAAUAGCUUUGAAUGUGUGUAAUAUGAAAGACAAUUCAUUUACUGUGUUCUUUGUGCAUAGGUGUAGUCAUCAUUCUUUCUGGCUUAGCUCUGUACAAUGAUUUCACAGAAUAAAGUUUGUUUUUAUUGAUA